rnacentral:rRNA from 1 species
UACGUAGGGUGCAAGCGUUGUCCGGAAUUAUUGGGCGUAAAGAGCUCGUAGGCGGUCUGUCGCGUCGGCUGUGAAAACCCGGGGCUCAACCCCGGGCCUGCAGUCGAUACGGGCAGACUAGAGUGCGGUAGGGGAGACUGGAAUUCCUGGUGUAGCGGUGGAAUGCGCAGAUAUCAGGAGGAACACCGGUAGCGAAGGCGGGUCUCUGGGCAGUAACUGACGCUGAGGAGCGAAAGCGUGGGGAGCGAACAGG